GAGGGGUGGAAGACAAGUGGAAUAGCAGGAAGAUUGGAGGUGUGGUGGAAGGGUGGAAUAGCAGCAGGAGGAACAGUGGAAGGGAGGUGGAAUAGCAGCAGGAGGAACAGUGGAAUGGAGGUGGAAUAGCAGCAGGAGGAACAGUGGAAGGGAGGUGGAAUAGCAGCAGGAGGAACAACAGUAGAAGGGAGGUGGAAUAGCAGCAGGAGGAACAGUGGAAGGGAGGUGGAAUAGCAGCAGGAGGAACAGUGGAAGGGAGGUGGAAUAGCAGCAGGAGGAACAACAGUGGAAGGGAGGUGCGAGCUGAGUUUGAAAUUAACAAUUAGAAAAAGUCAUGAAGGAAUGGUCAUAAUCACUCCCACUAAUAAUCAG
ensembl:lncRNA